GAUGAAGAACGUAGCGAAAUGCGAUAAGUAAUGUGAAUUGCAGAAUUCAGUGAAUCAUCGAAUCUUUGAACGCACAUUGCGCCCGCCAGUAUUCUGGCGGGCAUGCCUGUCCGAGCGUCAUUUCAACCCUCGAACCCCUCCGGGGGGUCGGCGUUGGGGAUCGGCCCUUUACGGGGCCGGCCCCGAAAUACAGUGGCGGUCUCGCCGCAGCCUCUCCUGCGCAGUAGUUUGUACACUCGCAUCGGGAGCGCGGCGCGUCCACAGCCGUUAAACACCCCAAACUUCUGAAAUGUUGACCUCGGAUCAGGUAGGAAUACCCGCUGAACUUAAGCAUAUCAAUAAGCGGAGGA
rnacentral:misc_RNA from 1 species